rfam:Blastocystis hominis, Singapore isolate B (sub-type 7) whole genome shotgun sequence assembly, scaffold_1
GACAACUUGUCCGAGUGGUUAAGGAGACAGACUCGAAAUCUGUUGGGCUUUGCCCGCGCAAGUUCGAAUCCUGCAGUUGUCG